AGUGAACGCUGGCGGUAGGCCUAACACAUGCAAGUCGAACGGCAGCACAGUAAGAGCUUGCUCUUACGGGUGGCGAGUGGCGGACGGGUGAGGAAUACAUCGGAAUCUACUUUUUCGUGGGGGAUAACGUAGGGAAACUUACGCUAAUACCGCAUACGACCUACGGGUGAAAGCAGGGGAUCUUCGGACCUUGCGCGAUUGAAUGAGCCGAUGUCGGAUUAGCUAGUUGGCGGGGUAAAGGCCCACCAAGGCGACGAUCCGUAGCUGGUCUGAGAGGAUGAUCAGCCCCACUGGAACUGAGACACGGUCCAGGCUCCUACGGGAGGCAGCAGUGGGGAAUAUUGGACAAUGGGCGAAAGCCUGAUCCAGCCCUACCGCGUGGGUGAAGAAGGACUUCGGGUUGUAAAGCCCUUUUGUUGGGAAAGAAAAGCAGCAAGUUAAUACCCCGCUGUUCUGACGGUACCCAAAGAAUAAGCACCGGCUAACUUCGUG
rnacentral:rRNA from 1 species